rnacentral:rRNA from 1 species
UGGAUCCAGACUUUGAUUCUGGCUCAGGAUGAACGCUAGCUACAGGCUUAACACAUGCAAGUCGAGGGGAAACGACAUCGAAAGCUUGCUUUUGAUGGGCGUCGACCGGCGCACGGGUGAGUAACGCGUAUCCAACCUGCCCACCACUUGGGGAUAACCUUGCGAAAGUAAGACUAAUACCCAAUGAUAUCUCUAGAAGACAUCUGAAAGAGAUUAAAGAUUUAUCGGUGAUGGAUGGGGAUGCGUCUGAUUAGCUUGUUGGCGGGGUAACGGCCCACCAAGGCAACGAUCAGUAGGGGUUCUGAGAGGAAGGUCCCCCACAUUGGAACUGAGACACGGUCCAAACUCCUACGGGAGGCAGCAGUGAGGAAUAUUGGUCAAUGGACGAGAGUCUGAACCAGCCAAGUAGCGUGCAGGAUGACGGCCCUAUGGGUUGUAAACUGCUUUUAUAAGGGAAUAAAGUGAGUCUCGUGAGACUUUUUGCAUGUACCUUAUGAAUAAGGACCGGCUAAUUCCGUGCCAGCAGCCGCGGUAAUACGGAAGGUCCGGGCGUUAUCCGGAUUUAUUGGGUUUAAAGGGAGCGUAGGCCGGAGAUUAAGCGUGUUGUGAAAUGUAGACGCUCAACGUCUGCACUGCAGCGCGAACUGGUUUCCUUGAGUACGCACAAAGUGGGCGGAAUUCGUGGUGUAGCGGUGAAAUGCUUAGAUAUCACGAAGAACUCCGAUUGCGAAGGCAGCUCACUGGAGCGCAACUGACGCUGAAGCUCGAAAGUGCGGGUAUCGAACAGGAUUAGAUACCCUGGUAGUCCGCACGGUAAACGAUGGAUGCCCGCUGUUGGUCUGAAUAGGUCAGCGGCCAAGCGAAAGCAUUAAGCAUCCCACCUGGGGAGUACGCCGGCAACGGUGCAACUCAAAGGAAUUGACGGA